AGUGAACGCUGGCGGUAGGCCUAACACAUGCAAGUCGAACGGCAGCACAGUAAGAGCUUGCUCUUACGGGUGGCGAGUGGCGGACGGGUGAGGAAUACAUCGGAAUCUACUUUUUCGUGGGGGAUAACGUAGGGAAACUUACGCUAAUACCGCAUACGACCUUCGGGUGAAAGCAGGGGAUCUUCGGACCUUGCGCUAUUGAAUGAGCCGAUGUCGGAUUAGCUAGUUGGCGGGGUAAAGGCCCACCAAGGCGACGAUCCGUAGCUGGUCUGAGAGGAUGAUCAGCCACACUGGAACUGAGACACGGUCCAGACUCCUACGGGAGGCAGCAGUGGGGAAUAUUGGACAAUGGGCGCAAGCCUGAUCCAGCCAUACCGCGUGGGUGAAGAAGGCCUUCGGGUUGUAAAGCCCUUUUGUUGGGAAAGAAAAGCAGCAGGUUAAUACCCCGCUGUUCUGACGGUACCCAAAGAAUAAGCACCGGCUAACUUCGUG
rnacentral:rRNA from 1 species